rnacentral:lncRNA from 1 species
ACGUUACCGUAGCAUUGGUGCAGCUGAAGCUGCAGACACGACCAUGAGCGCCACGGUAGAAUCUGAAAAACGGGAGGACGUGGACACCAAGACUGUAACACAUGGACUUGUGCUCCUCGUAGUUCACCUGAAGAAACUGCACAUCAGGGUUCUGCUCUGCCAACUGACAUAUCUACAACAAUCACAAACCAUAACGAUUAGAACAAAUUAGAUCUUUUCCAGAAUCUAACAAGUAUUAUACCUUAGGAUGAAGAGCCUUGCAUCCACCACAGCCAGGAGAGAAGAAGUCAACCACAACAAGCUU